UCGAAAUUAGCCCGUAAAAAGGUCAGUUCCUCGUUAAGCCGCCCCCACGGGGGCAUCAACGGCGCUCCGCCUGCAUCAGGCUCGGUAUUCCGUAAACCACACAGCAUACGACUGUGCGUAGCGGAAAUGGUGUUAGUGAUCAAGCUGGCUGGCCGUCUAGCAUUGCGAGACGCUGAGCCAGUGUUUGCGUUUUUUUGUCGGC
rnacentral:rRNA from 1 species